CGAAGGUAAGAUUCGUUACUUGUCUUUCCUAACAGGACGGGAUCCCGGGAGUCUGGCCUGUAUAUAACUCAGCUCUCGUCCGUUCCUCUUCGAUUUAGGGAUCUGGAUCUGGACUUCGGCUUAAUCUGCUACGGCGUUGCCUCCUCUUUCGUGCGUUGCUUCUUUCUUCUUUAGGUUGAUUUUGUAGUUUAAUUGACGACAACUUGGUCUGUUUUUAGUAUUUGUCCUGCUUUUCCUCAUCGGCUAAUUCUGCAAAUUUCUCUCUCUUGCUUCUUUUUGGAUUGGAUCUGUAAACUGUGUUGGUUUCUCAAAUACUCUCUUCAAUCCAUAUUAUUUGUCAUGUUCAAUGAACCUGGACAGAUUUUAGGCAACAUUCUGUCUAAAUCCAUGACAAGUAAUUUAAAUCGGAGAGAGUAAUUUAUUCUCGUCUUUAUUUACACAUUUGUAGAUCUGCUACCAUGUGGUUUAAAUUUGUCUAUGAAGCAUGGCCUCAUUGCUCUUUCAAUGACAUCCUUCUUGCUCGAGUCUCUUUUCUGCAUCAUUAUCUCGCCGCACUACCAAAUUUCAGAUUUCACUUUUGAGAAUCGUUUGGUCAUAUCUAGUGUUAGAUCCACCGCCUCCCUCAUCCGGGUGUGUCGGCAACGCAAGACUGUGCUACUGUACUUUAGCAUUUUAAACUUGGUUGGCGAUGCUUCAAGAAGUUUCUGGGUCCGUCAAUGGUCAUCUCGAACCCUAAUUUGGGUUUAGAAGUUUCAACUCAGCUACGAUUGGUGAUGAACAACAAUUCAUUGCGAAGAGAGGGCACAAAUCUACAUGUAGGUUGCAAGGUAGGCGACUAAGAACAAGGGCAGUGUGUCGACUGCCCAAAAUAGAACAACCACUCCCUUCAACCCUUUGUUUGAAAGGCAACAACAAAUUCACAAGAACUUAGGUACAGAUAUUUUUCACUCGAAUCUAUAUCCACAUUUAUUUUUGAGGAUAUGAUAUGCAUUUUUAGAAAUCCACUAGAUAUGAUGACUCUUCAGUCAUCGUUGGCUGCUCCGCUCGUCCAAAACCACAACACCGGCCUGCUCUGUCGGCGUCAAAUUUGUUGUCGCCAGCGAUGCCGAUGACAUCGCAGGUGUACUUACCGAAGCCGACGCUGAUGCCGUCGCGGUCGUGGUGUCGUUG